CCAACGAGCCUCUCAGGCAGAGCCCAGGAGCCUUUUCCCAGGAGGGAGGGCCAGUCCAGCUCCACAGGCCAAGCUUUCCUUCCUUUUAACCCCUUUCCUCGCGCACCAGGCUCGGCAGUUUGGCCAAAGUACCCCAGGCCUGGCCAAGGGCAGCAAGAGCCUGCUAAUUCGGGCUCUGAGGGACCUCCUGUUUCACUGAGUCGGCCGCUUGAAGCUUCCCUUCCACACUCGCUGUACACGGAUUACCACCCGGCAAAGCACUGGAGACAAAGGAACUCCAUCCAACAGGAUGUCCUGCCUCAGUUUCUCCAGGACCAGGAUGUGGAAAGACUGGGCUGUGUAAUCCUAAAAUUUCUGGUUCUCAUCUCCAUCCUCAUCAGCUCCAUUCUAUUCUUCCUGGUUUCCACCAGCCAAGUUCAAGCCCGGUUGGCCAGCUGGGGCCGGUGCCCGGCUCGUUCUGUCCCCUCCGCCGGCAUUGUCCUCUCUCUUACCCACCUGCAAAUUCUUACUUAUCCUUCAAAAGCCAGCUGUGAUGUCACCACCUCUCAUACCUUUGACUCCUAGGGCGUCUGCCAGCUACUUUUUAAAUUUUAAAAAAGCUCAGGCAGGAUAAACAGAAUAACUAGAUUACUGAAAUUCUUUGUUUUUGCCUUACUGCGAACUAAUUCAGUGCAGUCAUGCUAGUUAUUACCUCUCGUUGCUCUGAAGCACUUACUGGCAAUUGUGUAACUAUUUGAGUACUGACAACUUGGAAAUGAAUAAUAAAUGCAAUUGGUUUGGCUGA
rnacentral:lncRNA from 1 species